AGAUACCCCACUAUGCUUAGUCGUAAACUUAAAUAGUCAUAAAACAAGACUAUUCGCCAGAGUACUACUAGCAAUAGCCUAAAACUCAAGGGACUUGGCGGUGCUUCAUAUCCCUCUAGAGGAGCCUGUUCUAUAAUCGAUAAACCCCGAUCAACCUCACCAACCCUUGCUACUUCAGUUUAUAUACCGCCAUCUUCAGCAAACCCUAAAAGGGAACGAAAGUAAGCAUAACUACCUCAACAUAAAAACGUUAGGUCAAGGUGUAACCUAUGGGGUGGGAAGAAAUGGGCUACAUUUUCUACAUUAAGAACAUCCUGAAAUCCACACGAAAAUUUUUAUGAAACCUAAAAAUUAAAGGAGGAUUUAGCAGUAAAUUAAGAAUAGAGUGCUUAAUUGAACAAGGCCAUGAAGCACGCACACACCG
rnacentral:rRNA from 1 species